GUAGAGGACAGAUUAUGGCGGAGAGCAGAUUACAGAAUGGAGGGGAGAUAAGAGGGGAAUAAGCAAAAGAGAGAGCAGCGCUAAAACAACACAGAAUGGGGGAGUUGAGGACUUAAAGCUAUGAAAAGCCAACAAGGAAUGCAUACUCAGGAAGGCAAAAAUGGUAAAAUGCCCGCAGCUAACAAGCCCCACACGGCUGACCUGCGACCUGUCAGAUCAAUGCAGGGCCGUGGCCCUCAUGGGAGCGCGGGCACGGUCCACAGGGGUAGGGGCAAGACGGGGGACGCCACACCAAGCUUCCCGCCGCAGGCAAGAACCGCUGAACCACCGCCAAAGGGGACGGCAGCCAAUAAGGGACAAAGGAAGAGCAAGAUGAGGAAGAAGAGGAGGACGAUUCCAAUUGGAAAGGAAUGGGAAUGAAAGGGCAACAGAUCAAUAGAGCUACACACACACACACACACACACACACACGUAGUCUCACACAAACUCACAUGCACAAACCCAAUAUAUAUAAACCCAUAUUCACAUCUUUUUCUCUUUUAUCUCUCUAACCCUCUCUUUCCUGCUGAAACACUCUCCCGCUGUCAGACAAGGCUGCCGAUCCUUUGUCCUUCCAAACUCUCUGUUUCUUAAGCACAAUACAUAUUCCACCAUUUUAUUCAUUUUUGUUAAAAGGUAAAGAUCACAAAAAAAUAAAAAAUAAAUAAAAUCACAGCGCAGAGUUCAGAACUCUGUUGACAUGCACUUCUGUUACUAUGGUCUCUUUCUCUCUCUCUCUCCGCUUUC